UACGGGGGGGGCAAGCGUUGUUCGGAUUUACUGGGCGUAAAGGGCGGGUAGGCGGCCACCGCAAGUCAGUUGUGAAAUCUCUGGGCUUAACCCAGAAAGGUCAACUGAUACUGCGGGGCUAGAGUGCAGAAGGGGCAACUGGAAUUCUCGGUGUAGCGGUGAAAUGCGUAGAUAUCGAGAGGAACACCUGCGGCGAAGGCGGGUUGCUGGGCUGACACGUGACGCU
rnacentral:rRNA from 1 species